UUAUAUGCAAAGAACAAAAAUAAACAUGCAAUGCAGUUGAUUCAUUGGUAUUGAGAAGCUAUGGAUGAAUGGUGUUGUUGGGGUUUACAAUUUCAUCUUAUCCACUCUGCUACAUCCCCAUAUCGAUAAAGACAAACAUCUUUUACUGAAUGAGUUAAACAAUAAAAGCAUUUAGCACAGAUGAAAACCCAACAAUUGAUAAACAAGUAUAUGACAAGCAUAUGAAAUAAAUAAGAAUUUGAAUAUAUGAGAGUUUCGAAAGAUUACAUUGUUCCCCA
rnacentral:lncRNA from 1 species